UUUCAGCCUUGGACCUCGUUUCACGUCAUGAAGCACCUUAGUGUCAUUGAGAAUCCAAAUGUUCUGUUUCGACUGUUACGGAAAUAAAUGUCAUAAAGCAUAAAAUCUAAUCAGAGCAGUUUCAGGGUAUGACUGGGUUGCAGAUAAACAGUCUUUACUGGAUAUACCUUAAUAGGAUCUGGUAUUGGAUAUGGGUGUAUGGUAUAUGGGGCAACAGCUGAGAAUGUUCUUGAGAAACAUGACAGAAUACAGUCCAGAGCUCUUAGACUCCGUUUAUAUUGAUGCUACUAAAACAACUCCUGAUAAUGCAUUACUUGUGGCAACUGAAGAACUUCCUUUAUGCCUAGGAAGACUAAAGCAUUCCUUAACAUACUUGGUUAAAAGGAUCGGGGAAAGAACCUACAAUGUAGACGUACAAUCUGAAUGUUGAGAGUACACGAAAAACGCAAGGGUAAAGGAUUUGGUUGGAAUAUAAAAACAUAAGAAGAAGAUUAUAGUCUAAACAAAUCUGAUGGGGUGAAGCACAGCCUUGACCACGGCGUAGCUAUUUCAUGAGGACGUCACAGAAUAUCAGUGUGUCAUCACGGACACGGUAACACUGAAAUUAUGGCACACUGGCUGUGAGGAACACAUCCCUUAUCUCAAUGACUUCAGCAAAUCCAAGGAUAUCGCAAGUCCAUCAACAGACCUAGUGAAACAUGAGUCAGUUGUGCCUGAGCCAGUCCCACAUCCAUCUGAAACAGACAGCGCCAAUUAGAGUUUCACUCGACUUCGUGUAUGAACAAAAUGGAGCGAAGCUGUUCAAAGGGGCUUUUGUGACAACAUGCAGUUCCGAUGUCAUAGAGAUCAAACAUCUGUGAAAUAAAUACACAUGUCUG